rnacentral:ncRNA from 2 species
GGUGGUCGGCGCGACUGGCGUUGAGGUGGAUACCACCAGGGAGCCCGACCUCCGCACGACUGCACCAGACAAGGGACCGUUCGCCUGGGCCCCGCGU